AUUGAACGCUGGCGGCAUGCCUUACACAUGCAAGUCGAACGGCAGCACGGGAGUAAUCCUGGUGGCGAGUGGCGAACGGGUGAGUAAAGCAUCGGAACGUGCCCAGUCGUGGGGGAUAACGUAGCGAAAGCUACGCUAAUACCGCAUACGAUCUGUGGAUGAAAGCGGGGGACCGUAAGGCCUCGCGCGAUUGGAGCGGCCGAUAUCAGAUUAGGUAGUUGGUGAGGUAAAGGCUCACCAAGCCGACGAUCUGUAGCUGGUCUGAGAGGACGACCAGCCACACUGGGACUGAGACACGGCCCAGACUCCUACGGGAGGCAGCAGUGGGGAAUUUUGGACAAUGGGCGCAAGCCUGAUCCAGCAAUGCCGCGUGCAGGAUGAAGGCCUUCGGGUUGUAAACUGCUUUUGUACGGAGCGAAAAGGCUUCCACUAAUACUGGGGGCUCAUGACGGUACCGUAAGAAUAAGCACCGGCUAACUACGUG
rnacentral:rRNA from 1 species